AGGCCAAGGCUUCUUGAAAGGCUGGUCAUGCCCCAGUGAUCAAUGAAGAACUCAGGGAUAUCCCAAAACUCAGGACUAUAAGGCACAAUGGGGGAGCAGGUACCAGGUGGCCAGCAUCCUAAAUGACUCUCAGCAGCUGCAGAGAAUGUAAAUAACAAGAGCUGCCUAUAAAUCUACCUCAGAAGACAAAGGGAAAAGCAAAACUCUGCCCAGGAAGACCUUACUUUACAAACCAGGUGACCAAAUUUCUAAAACAUCAUUCCCGUAAUCCCUGAUCAACAGAAAGGAAGCUCUGGAAGCAUGAAUGCUCAACCAUAUUUACCAGCCUUCCUGUGGUCAUUUGUCUGAGCUCCAGCUAGUGAAGUAUGAGUAGAACGGACAUGCACCACUUCCAGACCUGGCACCGGCAAACCCCCCAUGGCAACCCUCCAACCCUUUCCUCAACAACUGGACCACGCUGGAAAGGACUGAGGAUCUAGAGGAGGACAGGGCUGUAAUAUGGAAGGAGUUUGGUUUCUGAAGGACCAUGUAGCAGGCCACCUGCAGGGCGGGAACAUCUUUAAUAGGUUUGGAAUAGCAAGAAAUAAACUGGUCUUGUAUUAAA
rnacentral:lncRNA from 1 species